GAUGAACGCUGGCGGCGCGCCUAAUACAUGCAAGUCGAGCGAACAGACGAGGAGCUUGCUCCUCUGACGUUAGCGGCGGACGGGUGAGUAACACGUGGAUAACCUACCUAUAAGACUGGGAUAACUUCGUGAAACCGGAGCUAAUACCGGAUAAUAUAUUGAACCGCAUGGUUCAAUAGUGAAAGACGGUUUUGCUGUCACUUAUAGAUGGAUCCGCGCCGCAUUAGCUAGUUGGUAAGGUAACGGCUUACCAAGGCAACGAUGCGUAGCCGACCUGAGAGGGUGAUCGGCCACACUGGAACUGAGACACGGUCCAGACUCCUACGGGAGGCAGCAGUAGGGAAUCUUCCGCAAUGGGCGAAAGCCUGACGGAGCAACGCCGCGUGAGUGAUGAAGGUCUUCGGAUCGUAAAACUCUGUUAUUAGGGAAGAACAAAUGUGUAAGUAACUAUGCACGUCUUGACGGUACCUAAUCAGAAAGCCACGGCUAACUACGUG
rnacentral:rRNA from 1 species